ACUUGACGUUACCCACAGAAGAAGCACCGGCUAAUUUCCUGCCAGCAGCCGCGGUAAUACGAAAGGUGCGAGCGUUAAUCGGAAUUACUGGGCGUAAAGCGCGCGUAGGCGGCUAUUUAAGUCUGAUGUGAAAUCCCCGGGCUCAACCUGGGAAUUGCAUCGGAUACUGGGUAGCUAGAAUGCGGUAGAGGGGGGUGGAAUUCCAGGUGUAGCGGUGAAAUGCGUAAAUAUCUGGAGGAACACCAGUGGCGAAGGCGGCCCCCUGGACUGACAUUGACGCUGAGGUGCGAAAGCGUGGGGAUCAAACAGGAUUAGAUACCCUGGUAG
rnacentral:rRNA from 1 species